rnacentral:rRNA from 1 species
AGAGUUUGAUCCUGGCUCAGAUUGAACGCUGGCGGCAUGCCUUACACAUGCAAGUCGAACGGUAACGCGGGGCAACCUGGCGACGAGUGGCGAACGGGUGAGUAAUGCAUCGGAACGUGCCCAUCAGUGGGGGAUAGCCCGGCGAAAGCCGGAUUAAUACCGCAUACGACCUGAGGGUGAAAGCGGGGGACCGUAAGGCCUCGCGCUGAUGGAGCGGCCGAUGUCGGAUUAGCUAGUUGGUGGGGUAAAGGCUUACCAAGGCAACGAUCCGUAGCUGGUCUGAGAGGACGACCAGCCACACUGGGACUGAGACACGGCCCAGACUCCUACGGGAGGCAGCAGUGGGGAAUUUUGGACAAUGGGCGCAAGCCUGAUCCAGCCAUGCCGCGUGCGGGAAGAAGGCCUUCGGGUUGUAAACCGCUUUUGUCAGGGAAGAAACGGUCUGAACUAAUACUUUGGGCUAAUGACGGUACCUGAAGAAUAAGCACCGGCUAACUACGUGCCAGCAGCCGCGGU